ACAGCAGUAGCCGCGGUAAUACGGAGGGUGCAAGCGUUAUCCGGAUUCACUGGGUUUAAAGGGUGCGUAGGUGGGCAGGUAAGUCAGUGGUGAAAUCUCCGGGCUUAACCCGGAAACUGCCGUUGAUACUAUCUGUCUGGAAUGUAGUGGAGGUGAGCGGAAUAUGUCAUGUAGCGGUGAAAUGCUUAGAUAUGACAUAGAACACCCAUUGCGAAGGCAGCUCGCUACACUAUUAUUGACACUGAGGCACGAAAGCGUGGGGAUCAAACAGGAUUAGAUACCCCUGUAGUCCCUGUCUCUAUACA
rnacentral:rRNA from 1 species